UUAUCCCAGUUGAAGCUGGUACAGUAAUGACAUAGGUUGAAUUCUUUGAUUUAUCCCAGUUGAAGCUGGAAUGGUAAUGACAUGACAUAGGUUGAAAGGAUAACAUCUCUAUUUACACUGUUGCAAUGUUUAAGUGCAGGUGAAAUCACUGUUAAUCAUGAAACAAUAUAUUUACGCACGAUCAUGCCCUUUUACAAACAUUGUGCUGUGUCCUGUUUGUACAGCUUUAAUACAGAGCAGAAAACUAGAUGCAGGUUUGCUAAUAAUUUUAGAUAAAACGAUGGUAAUUUAUGGAUGUCAACAUUUGUAAUACAACCGACACAACGCUUUUGGAGAAUAUUCUUUCACUUCAUUUCACCUGAUGAAGACGUUGUGUCACAAGUUGACCUCCAUAACUUUUGGUACAAAGUGUGAAUCCCAUUUCUGGUGUCCCCCGCCGUGAUUCCACCUAGAUAUUGCCAGGACAUUGCUAAAAGUGGCAUAAAACUAUACCACUCAUUCACAUCAUAAGUGGGGGAUGGGGUAGACUAGUGGUUAAAGCAUUCACGUCAUGCUGAACACCUGGAUUCGAUUCCCCACAUGGGUACAAUGUGUGAAGCCAAUUUCUGGUAAUCCCCACCAUGAUAUUGCUGGAAUAUUACUGAAAGCAGCUAAAACACAUACCCACUCACUCUUUCACAUUUAAUAACUGUGGCAUUCCUGAGACAGCUGUGUAGAUAUAUCUAUGGCUACUGUAAUUAAUGGCAAAUGAGGUUUUUAAUUUAUGUUUCAAUUAUUGUAAAUAUUCUUCAAGGUGUAUGGUUCUGUUAUGACUCAUAUUAAUUUUAUUUCUGAUUGUAUAUAAGAACAAGAAUUAAGAUAGAUGUUAAUAGUCAUUAGAGUUUUUAUUUUAUUCUAUAUUUGUUAAUACUCUGUUGACUUUUAUGCUCGAUAUCAUCUCAUUUUAUAAAGGAAUGGUUUGUAGUGUCAAUGCUGAGUCAAAGUAUUAUGUAGCAUAAUUUAGUUGUGUUUACAACAACUAUGAACUAUGAGUACUGUGUUCAAAUGGUGAUUAUACAUAUAUAAUUGGAAAGGUGGGUUGUAAUUAAAACAUUAACUUGUCUGCCAAGCCCCAGAUAUUGGCAGAUCCAAAACAAAAAGCUAAAACAAGAAACAAAGUGUGAUAUUAUUGUCAGGGUCAAAUUUCCUUAGGACUAGUUGUGAAAAGCAUUUACAAAAAUGUAAGAAAAAGCAUUUCAUUUUUAACCAUACGUCCCUGUGGUGUUAUUUCUCAGGUGAACAGUUGACCUGCCUGUGCAUGUGUUUGUGAUAGAUGCCUCCAUUGAGGAAGGAUAUGAUUUUUUCAAGAAUACCUGGUACUUUCACUAUUUUAUAGUGAUUCACAAGCACAUGCUCAUGAUAUGGUCUUAAUCAGAUAAUAGUAGAAUCUGGAGACCUUCCUAGUGAUUAUUGGUAUCGUUUUGCCAUAUUUAUGAAUUUCACACUGCAUUUUUAAUUAAUCCAUUGAGAAUUUUUACUUUCACCAAAUAUAGUCUUUUUAUUAUUAUGAAGACAGAACAAGACAAAUCUGUAGGAAGACUGUUUGAACGAAGUCAUCCAACCAGAUGGUUGUUGACUAUUGGACUUGAACAGUAUCCAGCCAGAGCACAAAUGACUGUCAUGGCAACAAAAACAAUGCACAUUGUUUCUCUGAACCCCGAUUAAUGUACAAAAAAUCCUUUAAAAAUUAAUUUUUUAAUUUUCUUUUGAGAAGUGGGUAAUUUGGGAACAAUGAAAUACCAGUUAUAGAGCAUCCAUUUGGAGCAUUCAGUGGACUGGACGUAUCAAUGCAGUAUUAUGUGACAGGGUGAUUUUUAUUCCUAUAUUUAAAACGGUUUUCUAUUUAUUCAUGUGCUGCCUAAGUUAUUUGAAGCUAUCAGAAAUAUAUUAAAAUAAACUUGUAUAAUUGUAAAUUAAAUUGUAUUCCAAUCAAAUAUAUUCUUAUACACUGAUUACAAUCUUUGACUUGAGAAGUAGUGUUAUCGAGAAACUGGUAAAUAGGCCUAGUUCUAUGGCUGAACCUGCUCGAAAUUUUGUUAUGGUCAAACAAUCAUUAAACUGAAAAUAAAUUUAGUUUUAACAUCUAUUUAUGUGUAUUAUCACUUCAAAUCAAAUAGUCAUUUGUUUUCAUUUGUCCUGAUUUUUUGCAUUCUGAUCAAGAAAAAUAGUAGAAACAAAUAUAUACAUGGGCCUGACAUUAUGUUACGCUCUAAAGACAUUUGUAUUCUUUUUGUAAAUGUGAUGAAUUUCAGUAAUAUUAAAUUAUUUUUAUUAUUUGGCUUUAUGAUUUACUCUUAAAGAAAAACCGUUAUAUGGAAUAUCAGAAUAAGAACUUCCAGUUUUAUGAUGGUUUAUAACAGAUAUACCCGUAAGAUUUUAGUUGACUUUUUGGUAAGCGCCUUUGGGUAUGCUCGCCAUGCAUUUAAAUAAAUGUCUAUAAGGGGAAUGACAUGCUAUAUAUGAAUAUGUAAUUUAUUCCUUUUUACAUGACGUUACAUUCUGCAUGAAUCAUAUAUACUAAUAUGUUCCCCAAACAAUGCUUAUCAGAUUAUUUGGAUUUUUGACAUAUCAUAUAUUUAGUAAAAAUGUACAAUUUUGCUGGUGUGUCUGUGUAUUGUUCGGUCCGAGCCAGUUUGACUGAACUAGUUUCAGUAGCAUUGUUCACCGCCCUUGACUGUGAUUAGUUGACCUGUUUGUAUAUAUUUCCAUUUGAGUGAGUUGUCCGACAUUUAUUAUGAAAUAAACUACACUUCAAGAUUAA
rnacentral:lncRNA from 1 species